rnacentral:tRNA from 1 species
UGCCUGGUGGUCCAGUGGUUAGGACUCUGUGCUUUCAUGGCAGGGGAUGCAGGUGCGAUCCCUGUUCAGGAAC